rnacentral:rRNA from 1 species
GAGUUUGAUCGUGGCUCAGAUUGAACGCUGGCGGCAUGCCUUACACAUGCAAGGUCGAACGGCAGCAUGAUCUAGCUUGCUAGAUUGAUGGCGAGUGGCGAACGGGUGAGUAAUACAUCGGAACGUGCCCUGUAGUGGGGGAUAACUAGUCGAAAGAUUAGCUAAUACCGCAUACGACCUGAGGGUGAAAGUGGGGGGACCGCAAGGCCUCAUGCUAUAGGAGCGGCCGAUGUCUGAUUAGCUAGUUGGUGGGGUAAAGGCCCACCAAGGCGACGAUCAGUAGCUGGUCUGAGAGGACGAUCAGCCACACUGGGACUGAGACACGGCCCAGACUCCUACGGGAGGCAGCAGUGGGGAAUUUUGGACAAUGGGCGAAAGCCUGAUCCAGCAAUG